UACGAAGGGGCUAGCGUUUGCUCGGAAUUACUGGGCGUAAAGGGAGCGUAGGCGGACAUUUUUAAGUCAGAGGUGAAAUCCCGGAGCUUAACUUCGGAACUGCCUUUUGAUACUGGGUGUCUUGAGUGUGAGAGAGGUAUGUGGAACUCCGAGUGUAGAGGUGAAAAUUCGUAGAUAUUCGGAAGAAACACCAGUGGCGAAGGCGACAUACUGGGCUCAUUUACUG
rnacentral:rRNA from 1 species